UACGGGGGGGGCAAGCGUUGUUCGGAAUUACUGGGCGUAAAGGGCUCGUAGGCGGCCAACUAAGUCAUACGUGAAAUCCCUCGGCUUAACCGGGGAACUGCGUCUGAUACUGGAUGGCUUGAGUUCGGGAGAGGGAUGCGGAAUUCCAGGUGUAGCGGUGAAAUGCGUAGAUAUCGAGAGGAACACCUGCGGCGAAGGCGGGUUGCUGGGCCGACACUGACGCUGAUGCGCGAAAGCCAGGGGAGCGAACGGG
rnacentral:rRNA from 1 species